AGAUAAUAUUCACAUAUUUAUUUGCAAAGAAAUUUAUCCAUUAUUUUUAUUAAAAUAACAUUUCUGUCUCUACAAUGGGCUGGAGAGAUGACACAAGGAAACUUAAUUUCUUGAAGUAGCAUUUUUUCUUAAUUUCCUAUUAAGGUUUAAGAUGGCUCAGAGGUUAAGAGCACUGACUGCUCUUCCAGAGGUCCUGAGUUCAAUUCCCAGCAACCACAUGAUGGCUCACAACCAUCCAUUAUGAGAUCUGGUGCCCUCUUCUGGUGUGCAGAUAUAUAUGGAAGCAGAAUGUUGUAUACAUAAUAAAAUAUUUAAAAAAAAUAAAAUAAAAUAAAUGGCAAUCUUUUGACAUCCUUUAUCAGGAAUGGACUGUUUUGUCAGUCCUAUAUACUUUAUGCAAUCAAAUUUUUUUUUUUUAUGGUGAAGUGACCAGCCCCCUGCUUUAGCAGUCAUGACAGGCUACAGGAAAG
rnacentral:lncRNA from 1 species